rnacentral:rRNA from 1 species
AACGAACGCUGGCGGCAGGCUUAACACAUGCAAGUCGAGCGCAUCCUUCGGGGUGAGGUGCUUCGGUACUGACCCUAGCGGCGGACGGGUGAGUAAUGCUUAGGAAUCUGCCAUUUAGUGGGGGACAACAUUCCGAAAGGGAUGCUAAUACCGCAUACGUCCUACGGGAGAAAGCAGGGGACCUUCGGGCCUUGUGCUACCGGAGCGGCCGAUGUCAGAUUAGGUAGUUGGUGGGGUAACGGCCUACCAAGCCUGCGAUCUGUAGCGGGUCUGAGAGGAUGAUCCGCCACACUGGGACUGAGACACGGCCCAGACUCCUACGGGAGGCAGCAGUGGGGAAUUUUGGACAAUGGGCGCAAGCCUGAUCCAGCCAUGCCGCGUGAGUGAAGAAGGCCUUCGGGUUGUAAAGCUCUUUCGGACGGAAAGAAAUUGCGCAGGCUAAUACCCUGCGCGGAUGACGGUACCGUCAUAAGAAGCACCGGCUAACUACGUGCCAGCCGCCGCGGUAAGAC